rnacentral:rRNA from 1 species
GGAUUGAACGCUGGCGGCAUGCUUUACACAUGCAAGUCGAACGGCAGCACGGGGGCAACCCUGGUGGCGAGUGGCGAACGGGUGAGUAAUAUAUCGGAACGUACCCGGAAAUGGGGGAUAACGUAGCGAAAGUUACGCUAAUACCGCAUAUGCCCUGAGGGGGAAAGCGGGGGAUUCGUAAGAGCCUCGCGUUUUCGAGCGGCCGAUGCGAGUAGU